CUCGCAAAUAUUCACGAAACCCUAAGGCGCAAUGAAAGUGAAGGUCAGGCAUCGCACUGACUGAGGCAGGAUCCGUCCGGGUGAGCGAAGCUCUUCUUCCUUUCGCGGGUUCGUCCCGCGGGGGAGCUCGGCGGCGCACUGCCAGCCCAUCUCGGCCGCUUCCCGUCGGCGAGGUGGAGCCAGAGCGCACACGUUGGGACCCGAAAGAUGGUGAACUAUGCUCGGGCAGGACGAAGCCAGAGGAAACUCUGGUGGAGGUCCGUAGCGAUUCUGACGUGCAAAUCGAUCGUCGGACCCGAGUAUAGGGGCGAAAGACUAAUCGAACGUCUAUACG
rnacentral:rRNA from 1 species